rnacentral:rRNA from 1 species
GACGAACCGUGCAAACGUUGUUCGGAAUCACUGGGCUUAAAGGGCGCGUAGGCGGCUUGCCAAGUCGGGGGUGAAAUACUUCAGCUUAACUGGAGAAGUGCCUUCGAUACUGGCGAGCUCGAGGGAGGUAGGGGUAUGUGGAACUUCUGGUGGAGCGGUGAAAUGCGUUGAUAUCAGAAGGAACGCCGGUGGCGAAAGCGACGUACUGGACCUCUUCUGACGCUGAGGCUCGAAAGCCAGGGGAGCAAACGGG